UGCAGACACAGUUUUCUACUGUUUUUGCCGAUUCCUAUGCCAAGGAAAAAGGCAGUGACUCUUCCAAUGAUGAUGAUGGAGGUGGUGAUGAAGCAGAUUUUGAUUUAAAUGAAUCUGAAGAAACUGAUGAAAAUGAAGAAGAGAAUGUUAUGGGUGAUGAAGAAGGGGAGGGUAGUGAAGGUGAAGAGAAGGAUGGUCAAGCCGAUGAAGAUUCUGACUCAAAAGAAAAAAAUGAUAAUGGCAGUGAUGAUGAAUCCACUGAUAGUGAGGAGAAGGUAGAUAAGUAGACAAUGUAACUAGGUUUUAGUUACUUUGUGUGGUUUAUUUUGUUGUAAGUCCGUUUUAGGUAGUGGUCUUGUAAUUCUAUGUUAUUGUUAUGUCUCUUGUUAUGUUUUAUUUUUCAGAAAUUUGCAACUAUUUUUCAGACUAUUUAUUUGUAUUUAUUAUGUUA